rfam:Strongyloides papillosus strain LIN genome assembly, scaffold: SPAL_scaffold0000003
GCCUCAUUAGUUCAGUUGGAUAGAAUGUAUGACUUCUAAUCAUAAGGUCCUCGGUUCGAGCCCGGGAUGAGGCU